ensembl:snoRNA
AUGGUUAUAUGAUGAAUAAAAUCAUUCACCAACUAUCAGAUGAGUUCAUGAUGGAUUUGCUUUUAUCUUAUUAGGAUCAU